rnacentral:rRNA from 1 species
CACGUAGGCGGGUAUUUAAGUCAGGGGUGAAAUCCCAGAGCUCAACUCUGGAACUGCCUUUGAUACUGGGUAUCUUGAGUAUGGAAGAGGUAAGUGGAAUUCCGAGUGUAGAGGUGAAAUUCGUAGAUAUUCGGAGGAACACCAGUGGCGAAGGCGGCUUACUGGUCCAUUACUGACGCUGAGGUGCGAAAGCGUGGGGAGCAAACA